UUUGCAGCCAUCUUGUCAUUUGGCCUCCAGGAAGCAUCUUCCCAGAGAACACAGGAACUCAGAAGGCAGAACAGAGGAAAGCUAUAGUUGCUCAUUUCUCUUAUGCUUCUGGAAUCCAGGGAAAUGGCUCUCUCCCUCACAGAAUCCAGAGCCAGUUAGAACAGCCUCUUUCCUUCCUUGUUUGCACCCCAGCGAUACAUGUUUGAGCCCUGAUAAUACAAUCCAGCCACCAGCACUAGGAUUGGUGACUACUCCCCAUGAAGGAGUUUCCCUUGUAAUCACACCUUCUGUUUUGGCUCUUGGACACCUGUGUAAAUAUUCCCGCCCCCAGAUGAUGUCUGUUAAAGUACUUUGAAUCAUUUGUUUUCCUGUCUGGGACCUGGACUGAAAAGAUGCUGAUAGUGGUAACUUAUGGUGUUUACAAAGCUAUCGGAGUCCAUCAGAGGAUUAUUGCAAUUUUUACAGAAGGGGAUGUAACUCCUAACCAACAGAUUAAAACACUCAGCCCAUAUCUGGGUUCAAAUAGAUGAAGAACACUUGGCAUUUUAUACAACACCCUGCUGCCCUGUGUAGCCUCUUUCUGUUCUCCUUUGUGUGCCAAAUCUUAUACGCACAUUCAAGUUCCCUCUCAAACAUACCUUUUUUCUUGUACUUUUUAUGAGUUGACAAUUGGGUAAGAGAAAAUUCUUCUAGAAAAAAGAGGGUCGUUUAUGUUUUGGAUCUGGAACAUCCCCC
rnacentral:lncRNA from 1 species